AGCCUGCACCAUCUGGACUUGCUUGUGUUUUACUAGAUUGUUGUGAUGUUGUGUGAUAACUAAAAGAACUAUAUGUAUAAUCAUUUUAAAAUAUAGUAUUUUUGAGAGUAUAAAUGUGUUGCUCCUGUCAGUUGGUUUACUUUGCCUGACUCUGUUUUAUAUUGUGUUGUUGUGUGCUGGUUUGUAAUGCUUCUGUGGGGUAGGUCUGACUGGAUUCGACUGGCUCAUACUGAACAAAAGCAGAUGAGGAACUACUGCGAUGCUGCUGAGGCUGGAGCUAUCUAGUUCAGACCGGUAGCUGGGUGCUGCUUUCAACACUGAAGGGCUCUUUGAGGGUGGGGGGGGGGUUAUUGUCAUCUGUGUGAUUAAUUGAGGGAAGACAGCCUUCAGAGGUUUCAGAGUUACUACUGUAAAAGGUGUGAAGCCGAACCCCUUCCUCCCCCGUCCCGCGUGGCUCUGUGCACGUAACACCUGCCUGCCGCUUCACAGCGGUACAAGAUGUUCUCUCAACAAGAUGUUCUGCAAAAGAGGAACAACCACUUUCACUUUCUGUUGCUGCUGAAAAAAAGUGAUAGAUGUUCGGAAUGACAUGAGGAGCCAUUUUCAAGAAAACAUAAACAUCUCCAGAAGGUUGUUGCAUCAGAUCGCAGGACAAAUGUGCAGUUAAAGGACAACAACGGGGUUGAGAAUUACAUCUGUGCUACUGUCUGACGCACACAGAGGUACAUAAAAUCAGAGAUUGCCAAAGAAGAUUAUCACCCACUCUGACAUCCAAUCCACAACCACCAGCUACCCUCACGGCCUCAUGGUUCAAUGCUUAACACUCUUGAUUGCACCAAAUCAAGUAGCAGGUAGCAGCCCUCAAUCAUCAGUAUAAAAUAACAGUGUGAUGUGUCUUUAAUUGGAACUUUCCCUACACAAUGUUGUGAUGAUUGUUGAGCUCAGACAAAACCACAUUAAACGCAACUUGGUGCAUUAGUAUGGAAUCUCUAAAGGAAAAGAAAAAUUUGCUGAAGAUUGUCAGUCUAAGGCAGGUGUCUCCAACCCUGGUCCUGGAGAGCUACUGUCCUGCA